GACAGAGGGUGCAAACGUUGUUCGGAAUUACUGGGCGUAAAGCGCGUGUAGGUGGCCCGGCAAGUCGGAUGUGAAAGCCCUCGGCUCAACUGGGGAAGUGCAUCCGAAACUACCGGGCUCGAGUGUCGGAGAGGGAAGUGGAAUUCCCGGUGUAGAGGUGAAAUUCGUAGAUAUCGGGAGGAACACCAGUGGCGAAGGCGGCUUCCUGGACGAACACUGACACUGAGACGCGACAGCGUGGGGAGCAAACAGG
rnacentral:rRNA from 1 species